GUAACCUGCCUGUAAGACUGGGAUAACUCCGGGAAACCGGGGCUAAUACCGGAUGCUUGUUUGAACCGCAUGGUUCAAACAUAAAAGGUGGCUUCGGCUAUCACUUACAGAUGGACCCGCGGCGCAUNNNNNNGUUGGUGAGGUAAUGGCUCACCAAGGCAACGAUGCGUAGCCGACCUGANNNGGUGAUCGGCCACACUGGGACUGAGACACGGCCCAGACUCCUACGGGAGGCAGCAGUAGGGAAUCUUCCGCAAUGGACGAAAGUCUGAACGGAGCAACGCCGCUGUGAGUGAUGAAGGUUUUCGGAUCGUAAAGCUCUGUUGUUAGGGAAGAACAAGUGCCGUUCAAAUAGGGCGGCACCUUGACGGUACCUAACCAGAAAGCCACGGCUAACUACGUGCCAGCAGCCGCGGUAAUACGUAGGUGGCAAGCGUUGUCCGGAAUUAUUGGGCGUAAAGGGCUCGCAGGCGGUUUCUUAAGUCUGAUGUGAAAGCCCCCGGCUCAACCGGGGAGGGUCAUUGGAAACUGGGGAACUUGAGUGCAGAAGAGGAGAGUGGAAUUCCACGUGUAGCGGUGAAAUGCGUAGAGAUGUGGAGGAACACCAGUGGCGAAGGCGACUCUCUGGUCUGUAACUGACGCUGAGGAGCGAAAGCGUGGGGAGCGAACAGGAUUAGAUACCCUGGUNGNCNNNNCCGNNNACGAAGAGUGCUAAGUGUUAGGGGGUUUCCGCCCCUUAGUGCUGCA
rnacentral:rRNA from 1 species